rnacentral:lncRNA from 1 species
UUUCCACUAUAUCCAUAAUGCCUCUUCAUAUUUGUGCCCUUCAGAUAAAAGGAAUUGAGCUAGAGAAAGCGGCCAUAGUUUAAGAACAUUCCUGGAAGUUUUGUCAGUUUUUUCACAUGGCAUUCUGACUUUCUAAUGAGAAUACGCUUGUACAUUUAAAGAAGAUUGUGAGUGUAUGUGCAUUUUAAGGAAAAGCAAUCUACCGAAGGCUUAUUUUUAUUUCAAUAUUAAUGGUAAUCCAGCUGGGGAAAAUAAG